rnacentral:rRNA from 1 species
GGCGCCAAUUUCCUUCANNGUCGACGGUACGCGGAGAGAGCUUGCUUCUCUCCGGCGACGAGUGGCGAACGGGUGAGUAAUACAUCGGAACGUGUCCGCUCGUGGGGGACAACCAGCCGAAAGGUUGGCUAAUACCGCAUGAGUUCUACGGAAGAAAGAGGGGGACCCGCAAGGGCCUCUCGCGAGCGGAGCGGCCGAUGACUGAUUAGCCGGUUGGUGAGGUAACGGCUCACCAAAGCAACGAUCAGUAGCUGGUCUGAGAGGACGACCAGCCACACUGGGACUGAGACACGGCCCAGACUCCUACGGGAGGCAGCAGUGGGGAAUUUUGGACAAUGGGCGCAAGCCUGAUCCAGCUAUUCCGCGUGUGGGAUGAAGGCCCUCGGGUUGUAAACCACUUUUGUAGAGAACGAAAAGACACCUUCGAAUAAAGGGUGUUGCUGACGGUACUCUAAGAAUAAGCACCGGCUAACUACGUGCCAGCAGCCGCGGUAAUACGUAGGGUGCGAGCGUUAAUCGGAAUUACUGGGCGUAAAGGGUGCGCAGGCGGUUGAGUAAGACAGAUGUGAAAUCCCCGAGCUUAACUCGGGAAUGGCAUAUGUGACUGCUCGACUAGAGUGUGUCAGAGGGAGGUGGAAUUCCACGUGUAGCAGUGAAAUGCGUAGAUAUGUGGAAGAACACCGAUGGCGAAGGCAGCCUCCUGGGACAUAACUGACGCUCAGGCACGAAAGCGUGGGGAGCAAACAGGAU